UCCAUGGUGACGUGGAAUCUGAAGGAAGCUCGAGGCAAACCUCUGGUCAGAAUUUAUAAGUUUCUAACUUGGAAACUGUCUAGCGCAAGCAGCCUACGAGC
rfam:Anaerobacillus alkalilacustris strain DSM 18345 Ga0137925_130, whole genome shotgun sequence.